AUGGCCACGAUGGGUGGGGACCGAAGGCAGAUGAUGGAGGAUGCGGCGGAGGACAAGUUCCCGGAGGGGUUACGCAUCCUCGUCGUCGACGACGACCGCGUCUGCCUCACGGUACUAGAAGCCCUCUUGCGCCGUUGCAAGUACCAACCAACGACGGUGAUGGAUGCAAAGACGGCGCUGAGGAUGCUCAUGGCAGGGAAGCAGCAGUUCGACCUCGUCAUCACCGACGUGCGCAUGCCGGACAUGGACGGCUUCAAGCUCCUCGAGCUCAUCCGCCUCGAGAUGAAUCUGCCCGUCAUCAGUACUCUCACAGCUCUCAAUCCAAAACUAAUGGCAUCUUAUCCAGCCAUCCGUCCGAUCGGAUGGCGAGUGGGGCGGGAGAGCGGAGGUGGAGUGACACAUGAGUUAGUAGGGGACAUAUUGUCGGUUUCUAGCCCAAACCAAUGGCAUCCUAUCCAGCCAUCCGUCCGAUCGGAUGGCGAGUGGGGCGGGAGAGCGGAGGUGGAGCGACACAUGAUGCUAUCCGUCGAUUGCGACAAGAAGGUUGUGAUGAAGGGGAUAGAACAAGGCGCAUCCGAGUUUAUGGUGAAGCCAGUCCAUACCCAUGAGCUAAAAAACAUAUGGCAACAUGUUCAAAGGUGGAGAAAUCCCAAAGCAAUAAGCCACAUCAGCGAUCAUGACAGUGAUGUCCAGAGAGUUCAACCAGCGACUGCUGACAAGAGUAAGUUAUCGGGGAAUAAGAGAAAUGUUGGAGAUGAUUCUAACAAGCACAAUGAAAGCACAUGUGUAUCCGCCACCCACAGAAAGCCCAGGGUGACAUGGACAAUUCAGCUGCAUAACAAGUUCCUAGAAGCUAUCAACCAGAUCGGCCUUGAUAGGGCUGUUCCAAAAAAGAAGUAUAGAUUGCAUUUAAAAAAAGUCAACUCAAAUCACUCUGGUGAUGCAUAUGAAAGAUGGAACUCAUCGUACAACAUGAACAACAAGGGCAAUUUCAUGCAUAAUCAUGAACAUGGAAGAUGGAGUCACUUGGCUCCGGCGAUGAACAACCAAAGCAACUUCGACAUGGGGUCAUACCUCCAUGAUGGUAGAAUGCUGAGUAAUUCCUAUGCUGACCUCAUGUGUGGCAAGCUAAUGGAGAUAAGCAAAGGCAAAACCCCUUCCAAUUGUCAAAGUUCAUUUGCAAAUACAACAGUUGGUGGUGGGAGGUCUCUUGUCGCAUCACAGGUGAACUUCCCACAGAUCAACCAACUAGAGAGCUAUGCAAUGUCAUCUGGCCGGUUGCCUCUGCAAAAUGAAAAGGCGCCAUUCAUAAGCAACACCGCAUUAGUGGGAGGCUUCACUGAGCAGAUGGCACCAUUCAACAUGGCAAGCAACACAAGCUCAGUAGGAACGAUGUUGAAUGGUAGCUCUGCACUUGAUGCAAGUAGAACUUCAACUAAAGAUAAUCAUCUGGUCAAUAGUGAAAGAACUACUUCGAUGCUUCACAACCUUCAGACAGACGAUUUCUUCUCAUUGACUCAGCUACUUGAUGGCGGGGAUGGAGCUAGCAUUCUUCCUAUGCAAGAAGGCACACUUGAUCAGCAACCUCUUAAUGAUCAACUAAAUGAAAUCAAUGCCUUCUCAGUGGAUGAUAUAUUUUCCAACAUGAACCUGGAAGAUUUCACGGGAGAUGAUCCUAUCGUGGAAGAAGCAUGA
rnacentral:rRNA from 1 species